rnacentral:rRNA from 1 species
AAAGCUCAAAUUUAAAAUCUGGCAGCCUCAGGUUGUCCGAGUUGUAAUUUAGAGAAGUGUUACCCGUGCUGGACCGUGUACAAGUCUCCUGGAAUGGAGCGUCAUAGAGGGUGAGAAUCCCGUCUUUGACACGGACUACCAGUGCAUUGUGGUGCGCUCUCGAAGAGUCGCGUUGUUUGGGAAUGCAGCGCAAAAUGGGUGGUAAAUUCCAUCUAAAGCUAAAUAUUGGCGAGAGACCGAUAGCGAA